rnacentral:lncRNA from 1 species
CGGGGCCUCAGUGACAUCAAUCAUCAUAUGCAAGAUGAACAUUGGCUUGGUCCAGAAAGGCGGGACCUCGGUCCAGAAAGGCGGGACAACUUGAAGCCAAGACAGGAAGCAGGAAAGGGGCUUCCAGGUCACAGGUAGAAACAAAUGGUUGCAUCCUUUUGAGUUUCUGAUUAGCCUCUCCAAAGGAGGCAACAAGAGAUGCGUUUAUCUCAGUGAGCAGAAGGGUGACUUUGAAUAGAGUGGGAGGCAGGUUGGCCCUGAGCAAUUCCCAGCUUGACUUUUCCCUUUAGCUUAGUGAUUUUGGAGCCCCAAGAUUUAUUUUCCUUUCACAGCAUGUGGCGGUUCUUUAUUCUCAUAAAUGAUUUCAAAACAUUAUGCACUUGGGGGAUUUUAUAAUGAAAAAUCGCGGUGUCCUAUUAAAGCACAAAGAGGCAAAGCAGAAGCAGCAGACAGGACGUCAAAGAACCAGUGCAUGGCUGCGCCGGGCCCCGGGGCUUCCCACACGGGUUACUGUCAUCCUUCCGAAUCACUGGACUUGAAGCCCAGCAUGUUGCUGAGUUUUGCUCCAGAGACAAUUGCCAUUUGUUAUUUAAGUGACAAAGGUAACGCAUGCCGGCGGGAAGCAAUGCACAAAAUGUGAAGGUGAGUGGAGACCCUCCCCAGACCCCCCACCUCUGCCACCACCACAAACACGCACAAUCCAAGUGUAUCCAUGCUUCUGUAGACUGAUUUUUGCUAUUAUUUGUUCUUAUAAACAUGGGGUCCAUAUACCAGCUUCCGAGGGCUACCUAACAAAAUAUCACUGACCAGGUGGUAUAGACAGCAGAAGUUUGUUUUCUCCCUGCCCCAGAGGCUGGAGGUCUGAGAUCAGGGUGUGGGCAGGGCUGGUUUCUCCUGGGGCCUCCCUGCGUGGCUUGUGGACGCUGUCUCCUCCCAGUAUCCUCCUGUGGCCACCCCUCUGUGUGUCCGUGCACUCGCCUCUUCUCGUAAGGACAGUCAGAUUGGACCAGGGCCCCACCUCAUGACCUCAUUUUAGCAGACUGUGUGAGAGAACUGUUGCCCACAUUCUCACCAGACAGGCGUAUGGUUCUUUGUUCUUUUCUCAACUCUUUCUAAGGAAAAUCUCAAACAUACACAAAAGUCCAGAGAACAGAACAACGAACCAUACUCACCACCCAGCUGCGACCACCAUCAGCUUUUACUAAUUGUAUUGCAUCUGUUUCCCUGGCCAUUUUCUGGAACAUAUUUAGAACAAAUCCCUGCCAAACAUUAUGGUAUUUCACCAACAGACACCCAUACGCAUUUCUAAGGCACCAAGAGUUUUUAGCAACCUAGGUGCAAUCCCGUUAAUUCCUCAAUAUCAGCAAAGGCCACAAGGCUUCUGCUAGUGAGUGUUAGGCUGUGGAGCACUUCAGUAGGCCUCAAUUCCAUCUCCCUCUUUGCUAGCGUGGUGGGACCACCUUCAGACCUUUGCUUUUGAGGUAGGAGGUGGGACCUGAGUCCAGAGGCGGGGCUCUUGGACACAGGACCAAAUUGAAGACUAGCUGAAACAGGGAGGGGCAGAAA